CCUACGGGUGGCAGCAGUGAGGAAUAUUGGUCAAUGGACGAGAGUCUGAACCAGCCAAGUAGCGUGAAGGAUGACUGCCCUAUGGGUUGUAAACUUCUUUUAUAUGGGAAUAAAAUGUUCCACGUGUGGGAUUUUGUAUGUACCAUAUGAAUAAGGAUCGGCUAACUCCGUGCCAGCAGCCGCGGUAAUACGGAGGAUCCGAGCGUUAUCCGGAUUUAUUGGGUUUAAAGGGAGCGUAGGUGGAUUGUUAAGUCAGUUGUGAAAGUUUGCGGCUCAACCGUAAAAUUGCAGUUGAAACUGGCAGUCUUGAGUACAGUAGAGGUGGGCGGAAUGCGUGGUGUAGCGGUGAAAUGCUUAGAUAUCACGAAGAACUCCGAUUGCGAAGGCAGUUCACUGGACUGCAACUGACACUGAGGCUCGAAAGUGUGGGUAUCAAACAGGAUUAGAUACCCUUGUAGUA
rnacentral:rRNA from 1 species